rnacentral:tRNA from 1 species
AAAAUCCGUUGACUUU